rnacentral:rRNA from 1 species
UACGAAGGGGACUAGCGUUGUUCGGAAUUACUGGGCGUAAAGCGCACGUAGGCGGAUUUGUUAGUCAGGGGUGAAAUCCCGGGGCUCAACCUCGGAACUGCCUUUGAUACUGCAAAUCUCGAGUCCGGAAGAGGUGAGUGGAAUUCCUAGUGUAGAGGUGAAAUUCGUAGAUAUUAGGAAGAACACCAGUGGCGAAGGCGGCUCACUGGUCCGGUACUGACGCUGAGGUGCGAAAGCGUGGGGAGCAAACAGG